CGCUGGCGGCGUGCUUAACACAUGCAAGUCGAACGAAGCACCUUGAUUUGAUUCUUCGGAUGAAGAUCUUGGUGACUGAGUGGCGGACGGGUGAGUAACGCGUGGGUAACCUGCCUCAUACGGGGGGAUAACAGUUAGAAAUGACUGCUAAUACCGCAUAAGACCACAGCACCGCAUGGUGUAGGGGUAAAAACUCCGGUGGUAUGAGAUGGACCCGCGUCUGAUUAGGUAGUUGGUGGGGUAACGGCCUACCAAGCCGACGAUCAGUAGCCGACCUGAGAGGGUGACCGGCCACAUUGGGACUGAGACACGGCCCAAACUCCUACGGGAGGCAGCAGUGGGGAAUAUUGCACAAUGGGGGAAACCCUGAUGCAGCGACGCCGCGUGAGCGAUGAAGUAUUUCGGUAUGUAAAGCUCUAUCAGCAGGGAAGAAAAUGACGGUACCUGACUAAGAAGCACCGGCUAAAUACGUGCCAGCAGCCGCGGUAAUACGUAUGGUGCAAGCGUUAUCCGGAUUUACUGGGUGUAAAGGGAGCGUAGACGGAGUGGCAAGUCUGAUGUGAAAACCCGGGGCUCAACCCCGGGACUGCAUUGGAAACUGUCAAUCUAGAGUACCGGAGAGGUAAGCGGAAUUCCUAGUGUAGCGGUGAAAUGCGUAGAUAUUAGGAGGAACACCAGUGGCGAAGGCGGCUUACUGGACGGUAACUGACGUUGAGGCUCGAAAGCGUGGGGAGCAAACAGGAUUAGAUACCCUGGUAGUCCACGCCGUAAACGAUGACUACUAGGUGUCGGGCAGCAAAGCUGUUCGGUGCCGCAGCAAACGCAAUAAGUAGUCCACCUGGGGAGUACGUUCGCAAGAAUGAAACUCAAAGGAAUUGCCGGGGGCCCGCACAAGCAGUGGAGUAUGUGGUUUAAUUCGAAGCAACGCGAAGAACCUUACCAGGUCUUGACAUCGUAUGCAUAGUCUAGAGAUAGAUGAAAUCCCUUCGGGGACAUAUAGACAGGUGGUGCAUGGUUGUCGUCAGCUCGUGUCGUGAGAUGUUGGGUUAAGUCCCGCAACGAGCGCAACCCUUACCAUUAGUUGCUACGCAAGAGCACUCUAAUGGGACUGCCGUUGACAAAACGGAGGAAGGUGGGGAUGACGUCAAAUCAUCAUGCCCCUUAUGACCUGGGCUACACACGUACUACAAUGGCAAUAAAACAGAGGGAAGCAAAACAGCGAUGUGGAGCAAAUCCCGAAAAAUUGUCUCAGUUCAGAUUGCAGGCUGAAACUCGCCUGCAUGAAGUCGGAAUUGCUAGUAAUCGCAGAUCAGCAUGCUGCGGUGAAUACGUUCCCGGGCCUUGCACA
rnacentral:rRNA from 1 species